rnacentral:tRNA from 1 species
UCCCUGGUGGCUCAGACGGCAAAGCAUCUGCCUGCAAUGCGGGAGACCCGGGUUCGAUCCCUAGUCUGGGAA